UACGUAGGGGGCUAGCGUUGUCCGGAUUUAUUGGGCGUAAAGAGCGUGUAGGCGGCCAUGUAGGUCCGGUGUGAAAACUCGAGGCUUAACCUCGAGAUGUCAUCGGAAACCAUUUGGCUAGAGUCCGGAAGAGGAGAGUGGAAUUCCUGGUGUAGCGGUGGAAUGCGCAGAUAUCAGGAGGAACAUCCGUGGCGAAGGCGGCUCUCUGGGACGGUACUGACGCUGAGACGCGAAAGCGUGGGGAGCGAACAGG
rnacentral:rRNA from 1 species